rnacentral:rRNA from 1 species
AACGAACGCUGGCGGCAUGCCUAACACAUGCAAGUCGAACGAGACCUUCGGGUCUAGUGGCGAACGGGUGCGUAACGCGUGGGAACCUGCCCUUAGGUUCGGAAUAACUCCCCGAAAGGGGUGCUAAUACCGGAUAAUGUCUUCGGACCAAAGAUUUAUCGCCUUUGGAUGGGCCCGCGUUGGAUUAGCUAGUUGGUAGGGUAAAAGCCUACCAAGGCGACGAUGCAUAGCUGGUCUGAGAGGAUGAUCAGCCACCCUGGGAGUGAGACACGGCCCAGACUCCCACGGGAGGAAGAAGGGGGGAAUAAUGGACAAUGGGCGAAAGCCUGAGCCAGCAAUGCCGUGUGAGUGAUGAAGGACUUAGGGUUGUAAAGCUCUUUUACCCGGGAUGAUAAUGACAGUACCGGGAGAAUAAGCGCCGGCUAACUCCGUG